CCUGCUGAGGAUGAGUGAGGAUCAUGGCAUCGCAAGGACAUGCUGUGAGGAGAGCCAUAGAGCACCUCCAUCAAGUGUGGACAUCGCUGAAUGUUAACGUGGGGAGAGGAGAUCGAAAAAUGGUUUCGGGUUACCUAGCCAGUGGUCCACACUCACCUGAGCAUCUGGUCCAG